AACGAACGCUGGCGGCAUGCCUAACACAUGCAAGUCGAACGAUACCUUCGGGCCUAGUGGCGCACGGGUGCGUAACGCGUGGGAACCUGCCCUUAGGUUCGGAAUAACUCCCCGAAAGGGGUGCUAAUACCGGAUAAUGUCUUCGGACCACAGAUUUAUCGCCUUUGGAUGGGCCCGCGUUGGAUUGGCUAGUUGGUAGGGUAAAAGCCUACCAAGGCGACGAUCCAUAGCUGGUCUGAGAGGAUGAUCAGCCACACUGGGACUGAGACACGGCCCAGACUCCUACGGGAGGCAGCAGUGGGGAAUAUUGGAAAAUGGGCGAAAGCAUGAUCCAGCACUGCCGCGUGAGUGAUGAAGGACUUAGGGAUGUAAAGCUCUUUUACCCGGGAUGCUAAUGACAGUACCGGGAGAAUAAGCUCCGGCUAACUACGUG
rnacentral:rRNA from 1 species